rnacentral:lncRNA from 1 species
AAACAGCAUGACUACCUCUAAGGCUGAGGGAGAACAUCCAAGGGAGUAACAGACUUGGAAGAGAUCUCAACCCUGAGGCUAAAAUUCAGACCCCCUUGGAGAGGACGGGGCUGUAGCUAGAUGGCAGAGAAAUUAUAUGUGUAAAUGACAGAGGAAUUCACUGGAGUGCUGCAGAUAGAGGUGGUGGUGCAGCUGCAGGUGGGGAUGGUGAGCUGGAAGCCAUCUACUGGGGUGAGGUGGAAGCUUAUUGGAGAGUGAGUGCCAAUGGAACUCCAUAGGUGACACCAUAAGAACAAAAUCUACAACAAGGAGAUCUAGGAAGGGCAGCUACUGCCUCUCUGCUAUGCCUGCAGUGUCUCUCUAGUGCCCUCUGCUGAUAAGCCUAACAUUGCACCAGCUGGCAAAUGAGAAAUGUUCAUGGGAUCCAGAUCCAGAUCAGUUAACUCCAAACAAGAAAAAGAAAGAUUGCUUUGGACUAAGGAGCAAUAAAUUGAUAACUGGCACAGUGUUACCCUCCCUUUUUUGUUUUUGUUUUUCCAUUCACGGCUAUACUGUCAAUAUCCAUUCAUGCUCUAUAUGUAUGAUUAUUGGACAUUCUAUUUUUAUACACUCCCUGGUUUUCUUUUCCUUUCAUUGUUUUGGGGCUAUUUUAUAGCUCUGAAAGUUGUAGAAAACUAAUAACAAUGUAAAAGAUUUUUAGUUCAUAGAAAUGAAAAUUAUUUGUGUCUGGUGGAAUAUAGUAGAUUAACCACCCUGUGGUUAGACCAUUUUCCAUCUUUUAAAUAAAUGCAUUCUAGCAUUCCUUGUUGCCUAUUUAUGUGUGUUUUUUUGAAUUAUCCUUUGAUCUAGUUGUAACAUCUUACUGGUUCCCUCAUUAAUUAAUGAGGUAAAUAAAAC